rnacentral:misc_RNA from 1 species
UUUUGUUUAUUUUCUUGCUUUUUGCAACCGCGGGACCGCGUUUCUGCGCUUCAGAUUGCGUUUUUCCGACUCCUUUGUUUGAUAUCGUGUCGUAUCGUCGUAUUUAUGUAGUUAUUAGGAACGGCAAGGCCUACGUUGUUGCGUCCUUUACCUGAAUAUCGUGACCGAAUCGAGUGUCGUCGAUUUGAAUCGUGUCGUCGACGUGUCGUCGACGUGUCGUCGAACAACAAAAGGUGAUGGCUGGUCGUGGUUCAUCAGCGUUUGUUUUGAAACUGAUGGGUACCACAAGGCAUGAAGGAGGUGACUUGCAGCAGCAAGGCACUGCAAGCCUUCGCAGCAACUGGCUAGCCAGUGCUGCUCUGUUCUGAACUGCACUGCGUGUCAUGCGGAGGUUUUGUGCAAGCUCUCUGGGCGGCGACGCUAGCCACGAUUGGCUUCGUGGAUGCACAGAAAUACUCAAGGCGCUUGACGUCUGUGGCUCAUCUGUAUUGUUUUUCCCGGUACCACGGCAUGAAGGAGCUGGCCUCCCUCCCUUCCAUCAGCUGCGAGAUACUACAAGCACUGGGCUACAGCUGCAGCUAGCCCAUGGGUACCGUUCUGCGUCCUGUACUGCAUCUAGUUCGAAAGGCCAUGUGAAAGGCAGGUACCGGGGACCAUGACAUCAGUGAGCUGGCUUUCACCUUGUCCAAGGCAGCAGCGGAACACUACGGGCGGGACCCUGGAUCACUGCACCAUGGAUGCCGUCCUGUACCCUGCACGGCACUGCGUGUGGCUUAAGUGGCCAAGCAGAGGGUCAUUGCAUGACUUUUAUGAGGCGCCGCUAGCCAUUGUUUCAAACCACCCUGAAUCGUGGAUCAAGCCUUGCAAGAUGGAAGUUCUCUUUAGGCCCAGCGCCUCUUGAUGGAUCAAGUCUUGUACCCCAUUCCCUCGUGUCUUUCAUAUAAGUAAAUUGUUGGUAUUUCUUUUA